UACGGGGGGGCAAGCGUUGUUCGGAAUUACUGGGCGUAAAGGGCUCGUAGGCGGCCAACUAAGUCGGAUGUGAAAUCCCCAGGCUUAACCUGGGAACUGCAUCCGAUACUGGAUGGCUUGAAUCCGGGAGAGGGAUGCGGAAUUCCAGGUGUAGCGGUGAAAUGGCGUAGAUAUCAGGAGGAACACCAAUGGCGAAGGCAGCUCGCU
rnacentral:rRNA from 1 species